CUCCACAUUUAUCUCAAAAGGUUAGGUAAGAUUGGAUAUCGCCACUCACAUAACUACCAAAACAACAAAAUCAAACUAUGUCCACUUUGUGGUCUAAAGUUGUUUCUCGUUUAAAUUUGCAAGGGAUUGAAUAUUUUUUAAAAAAUGUCUGUCUGUUUGUUUGUUUGUUUCUUUAUAGAGUGAGUGGUGGGGGAGAGAGAGACAGAGAGAGAGAGAGAAUUAUCCCAAGCAGGCUCCAUACUCAGUUUGGAGCCCAACAUGGAGUUUGAUCUCAACUAUGAGAUUCUGACUUGAACCAAAAUGAAGAGCUGGACACUUAACCAAUUGAGCCACCCAGGUGACAUACGAAAAAAUCACUUCCUCUAGUGCCUUGCCAUCAGGAAUGUUACUAAGACAAUUCUAAUCUCAGCUGUCCUGUCAUGGUGCCUGUGUUACUCUAAUCCUCUCAGGAACUCCAUGACUCACGCUUUUCCGGUGUUGGCUUAUUAAACUGAAGUACUCUCAGGUGAA